rnacentral:rRNA from 1 species
AUUGAACGCUGGCGGCAGGCUUAACACAUGCAAGUCGAGCGGGGUGAUGGUGCUUGCACUAUCACUUAGCGGCGGACGGGUGAGUAAUGCUUAGGAAUCUGCCUAUUAGUGGGGGACAACAUCUCGAAAGGGAUGCUAAUACCGCAUACGUCCUACGGGAGAAAGCAGGGGAUCACUUGUGACCUUGCGCUAAUAGAUGAGCCUAAGUCGGAUUAGCUAGUUGGUGGGGUAAAGGCCUACCAAGGCGACGAUCUGUAGCGGGUCUGAGAGGAUGAUCCGCCACACUGGGACUGAGACACGGCCCAGGCUCCUACGGGAGGCAGCAGUGGGGAAUAUUGGACAAUGGGGGGAACCCUGAUCCAGCCAUGCCGCGUGUGUGAAGAAGGCCUUAUGGUUGUAAAGCACUUUAAGCGAGGAGGAGGCUCUUUUGGUUAAUACCCAAGAUGAGUGGACGUUACUCGCAGAAUAAGCACCGGCUAACUCUGUGCCAGCAGCCGCCGUAAAAC